GUAGGUGGCAAGCGUUGUCCGGGAAUUAUUGGGGCGUAAAGCGCGCGCAGGCGGUUCGUUUAAGUCUGAUGUGAAAGCCCACGGGCUCAACCGUGGAGGGUCAUUGGAAACUGGAGAACUUGAGUACAGAAGAGGAAAGCGGAAUUCCACGUGUAGCGGUGAAAUGCGUAGAGAUGUGGAGGAACACCAGUGGCGAAGGCGGCUUUCUGGUCUGUAACUGACGCUGAGGCGCGAAAGCGUGGGGAGCAAACAGGAUUAGAUACCCUGGUAGUCCACGCCGUAAACGAUGAGUGCUAAGUGUUAGGGGGGUUUCCGCCCCCUUAGUGCUGCAGCUAACGCAUUAAGCACUCCGCCUGGGGAGUACGGCCGCAAAGGCUG
rnacentral:rRNA from 1 species